CCUACGGGUGGCAGCAGUGAGGAAUAUUGGUCAAUGGACGAGAGUCUGAACCAGCCAAGUAGCGUGAAGGAUGACUGCCCUAUGGGUUGUAAACUUCUUUUAUAAAGGAAUAAAACGAGGCACGUGUGCCUUUUUGCAUGUACUUUAUGAAUAAGGAUCGGCUAACUCCGUGCCAGCAGCCGCGGUAAUACGGAGGAUCCGAGCGUUAUCCGGGUUUAUUGGGUUUAAAGGGAGCGUAGAUGGGUUGUUAAGUCAGUUGUGAAAGUUUGCGGCUCAACCGUAAAAUUGCAAUUGAUACUGGCAGUCGUGAGUACAGUUGAGGUAGGCGGAAUUCGUGGGGUAGCGGUGAAAUGCUUAGAUAUCACGAAGAACCCCGAUUGCGAAGGCAGCUUACUAAACUGUGACUGACAUUGAUGCUCGAAAGUGUGGGUAUCAAACAGGAUUAGAUACCCUUGUAGUC
rnacentral:rRNA from 1 species